rnacentral:lncRNA from 1 species
CAGGAGGAGUGUGUGAACACACACAUACACACUGGGCCCAACAGCCAGGAAAUGAGGAAUAUGCAAUAAGAGUGGGGGUGUGAUUGAAUCAGCCUGCUGCCUCUUGGCUCCCAGCUCUUGACUCACAGCCCAUAACUGAAUAACAAUGCCAGGGAGUCCAGGGUGAUUUGCAACUCAUGGUGAUUGAUUCAGAUUCCUACUCUCAUCCACUCUACUACAACACAGCAGGAACAUCAUAAUGUGAGUCAUCAAUGAUAGCUCUCCUCGAACAGCAACACUAUCCUCACUGCAGCCUGCCUGAUUUGUCUUGAACAUCUCUUCUCUGUUCGCCUGAGAUGUCAAGGAAAUCACAUAUCUCUAGUAACUUGUCUUUAGUCAGGGUGUGCAAUUCUCCUACUACCUCUUCCUGUAGUUCUUCCAAGGCGGUCGUCAUGUUGACAGAACAGGAGGAACUUUUACUGUGCAGGAGUUGACUCUGAAUUAGAUGGUCCUUACUGUCUCUGAUGGUCGGUCAAUGGCCUCAGCUGACACGUACUUAACCACCAACUUCCAGCUCUCCUCGAACAGCAACACUAUCCUCACUGCAGCCUGCCUGAGUUGUUAUGUGGGGAUUUAGCUGGCUCGGAAUUCAGCAACAUCAUAAUGUGAGUCAUCAAUGAUAUG